CCUACGGGAGGCAGCAGUGAGGAAUAUUGGUCAAUGGACGAGAGUCUGAACCAGCCAAGUAGCGUGAAGGAUGACUGCCCUAUGGGUUGUAAACUUCUUUUAUAUGGGAAUAAAGUGUUCCACGUGUGGCUUUUUGUAUGUACUUUAUGAAUAAGGAUCGGCUAACUCCGUGCCAGCAGCCGCGGUAAUACGGAGGAUCCGAGCGUUAUCCGGAUUUAUUGGGUUUAAAGGGAGCGUAGGUGGUUUGUUAAGUCAGUUGUGAAAGUUUGCGGCUCAACCGUAAAAUUGCAGUUGAUACUGGCAGUCGUGAGUACAGUAGAGGUGGGCGGAAUUCGUGGUGUAGCGGUGAAAUGCUUAGAUAUCACGAAGAACUCCGAUUGCGAAGGCAGCCCACUGGACUGCAACUGACACUGAGGCUCGAAAGUGUGGGUAUCAAACAGGAUUAGAUACCCCGGUAGUC
rnacentral:rRNA from 1 species